GAGAGAGAGAGAGAGAGAGAGAGAGAGAGAGAGAGAGAGAGAUGUUAGAGAGGGAAAUGGUGCACGUGAGAGAGGCAGAAAAGGUGAGGUGCUUUUCAGCUUCGAAAAGUGAGGGAAAGAGAAAGAGAGAAAGAGCUCUCUCUCUCUCUCUUUCUCUCUCUCUCUUUUUUCUAUCUGUCAU
rnacentral:miRNA from 1 species